GUUCACAGAGUUGACUAGUAUUAUAUGGGGGAAAAGAUACAAAUUAUGGAAUAAUGCCAGAAAAAUUAGCCAACACUGGACUCCAAGAUUUUUACAGCUAAGAUUAGAAGUCUGGUGGGCAGAAUCAAGAUUGAGCCUGUUCAUGCUUAGUUCAUCAUGUGGCCACUGCUCUGUCAUACUGCAUCUUGCCUGUUGGGUCUGAAGACAAAGAAUGGAACAUCAAUAAUUAAAGAGAUUUGGAAUGAUACAACAUGGUCCCAAUUUUAAGAACAACGUGGGCUAGUAGGAGACAGAAACCACAGAGACAACCAGGUAAAAAUACUUGUAAAGCACCAUGAUAACUUGUGCUACAAUAAAAGGAGUCGUAUAUACAGACAGUAGGAAGAAUGGCUGUAAAAGGGACAACUCUCAAAACGUAUUUGAGAACUUCUUGAUGAGUUAGAAGGAUUGGAAGAAGGAUUGGAAGAUGACAGCAGGAGAAAAGGAAGAAAAGAACUAUCAAUAAUUGUGGUUAUGCAUAUUGCUCCAAUUUAUAAGAUCUCUCCUAAAGUAGACUUUAAGCAUGCUACUGGGAUGUGUCUACACCCACCUCAGCCCCUCCCUUAUAUCAUUCCUGGUUUGUCCCAUCCAAUUGUGAGGAAUUAUAAUGUAUAUCCUCUUGCCAA